rnacentral:tRNA from 1 species
GGUCCUAUCGUCUAAUUGGGAAGACACCUUGCGCAGGUAAUAGAGGUUCGAGCCCUCUUGGGACCA